rnacentral:rRNA from 1 species
CCUACGGGUGGCUGCAGUGGGGAAUAUUGCACAAUGGGCGAAACCCUGAUGCAGCGACGCCGCGUGAGCGAGGAAGUAUCUCGGUAUGUAAAGCCCUAUCAGUAGGGACGAAAAAAGACGGUACCUGACUAAGAAGCCCCGGCUAACUACGUGCCAGCAGCCGCGGUAAUACGUAGGAGGCAAGCGGUAUCCGGAUAUAUUGGGUUUAAAGGGUGCGUAGGCGGAUUGCGAAGUCAGUGGUAAAAUCGCGGGGCUCCACCUCGCUCCGCCGUUGACACUGGCGUUCUUGAGUGGGCGAGAAGUAGGCGGAAUGCGUGGUGUAGCGGUGAAAUGCAUAGAUAUCACGCAGAACUCCGAUAGCGAAGGCAGCAUACCGGAGCCCAACUGACGCUGAAGCACGAGAGCGUGGGUAUCGAACAGGAUUAGAUACCCGUGUAGUC